rfam:Dipodomys ordii contig_16395, whole genome shotgun sequence.
GGUGGCUCAGUGGUAGAGUGCUUGCCUUGCAUGCAAGAGGCCCUGGGUUCAAUUCCUCAGCACCA